AUGAACACUGGCGGCGUGCCUAAUACAUGCAAGUCGAGCGAACAGACGAGGAGCUUGCUCCUCUGACGUUAGCGGCGGACGGGUGAGUAACACGUGGAUAACCUACCUAUAAGACUGGGAUAACUUCGGGAAACCGGAGCUAAUACCGGAUAAUAUAUUGAACCGCAUGGUUCAAUAGUGAAAGGCGGUUUUGCUGUCACUUAUAGAUGGAUCCGCGCCGCAUUAGCUAGUUGGUAAGGUAACGGCUUACCAAGGCAACGAUGCGUAGCCGACCUGAGAGGGUGAUCGGCCACACUGGAACUGAGACACGGUCCAGACUCCUACGGGAGGCAGCAGUAGGGAAUCUUCCGCAAUGGGCGAAAGCCUGACGGAGCAACGCCGCGUGAGUGAUGAAGGUCUUCGGAUCGUAAAACUCUGUUAUUAGGGAAGAACAAAUGUGUAAGUAACUAUGCACGUCUUGACGGUACCUAAUCAGAAAGCCACGGCUAACUACGUG
rnacentral:rRNA from 1 species